GUGGGGAAUUUUCCGCAAUGGGCGAAAGCCUGACGGAGCAACGCCGCGUGAGGGAUGAAGGCCUCUGGGCUGUAAACCUCUUUUCUCAAGGAAGAAGAUCUGACGGUACUUGAGGAAUAAGCCACGGCUAAUUCCGUGCCAGCAGCCGCGGUAAUACGGGAGUGGCAAGCGUUAUCCGGAAUUAUUGGGCGUAAAGCGUCCGCAGGCGGCCUUGAAAGUCUGUCGUUAAAGCGUGGAGCUUAACUCCAUUUAAGCGAUGGAAACUACAAGGCUAGAGUGUGGUAGGGGCAGAGGGAAUUCCCGGUGUAGCGGUGAAAUGCGUAGAUAUCGGGAAGAACACCAGUGGCGAAGGCGCUCUGCUGGGCCAUAACUGACGCUCAUGGACGAAAGCCAGGGGAGCGAAAGGGAUUAGAAACCCUAGUAGUCC
rnacentral:rRNA from 1 species